GCAGCUCCGUCAGUAGAGCAUGAGACUCCUAAUCUCAAGGUUGUGGGUUCAAGCCCCACAUUGGGCA